GGGCGAAUAGCUCAGCUGGGAGAGCACCUGCCUUACAAGCAGGGGGUCACAGGUUCAAGCCCUGUUUCGCCCACCA
rnacentral:tRNA from 2 species